UACGUAGGGUGCGAGCGUUAAUCGGAAUUACUGGGCGUAAAGCGUGCGCAGGCGGUGAUGUAAGACCGAUGUGAAAUCCCCGGGCUUAACCUGGGAACUGCAUUGGUGACUGCAUCGCUCGAGUAUGGCAGAGGGGGGUAGAAUUCCACGUGUAGCAGUGAAAUGUGUAGAGAUGUGGAGGAAUACCGAUGGCGAAGGCAGCCC
rnacentral:rRNA from 1 species